GACGCUAUGGCAUAGUGGUCGUGCAUGGGCCUUUUAAGCCUAGGACCUUGGUUCGAUUCCAAGUGGCGUCACCA
rnacentral:tRNA from 1 species